UACGUAGGUGGCAAGCGUUAUCCGGAAUUACUGGGCGUAAAGGGUGCGUAGGUGGUUUCUUAAGUCAGAGGUGAAAGGCUACGGCUCAACCGUAGUAAGCCUUUGAAACUGGGAAACUUGAGUGCAGGAGAGGAGAGUGGAAUUCCUAGUGUAGCGGUGAAAUGCGUAGAUAUUAGGAGGAACACCAGUUGCGAAGGCGGCUCUCUGGACUGUAACUGACACUGAGGCACGAAAGCGUGGGGAGCAAACAGGAUUAGAUACCCUGGUAGUCCCUGA
rnacentral:rRNA from 1 species